ensembl:lncRNA
GACUUUUUAGCUAUUACAAAGUAUAUCGAGGUAGAAUUUUGUAUGCAAAGUCAGCAUCGUAGAUUGGCCAACAGAAUUUCAGUUAAUUUUGGUUUUGUUGUAUUUAAUUUUCACAUUGUUUUAUUACUGUUUUCACAAUCAAAAUGGAGGAGGUUUUGCCAGAAAAAAACCCAAACCCCCAAACUACCUGGCAUAUAGAACGUGUGUUGUUAGCAAUUCUGUCAAGCGGUGGGGCAAUACGAGAAACCUUGAAGGCUAAAACAGACUGCUGCAUUCUUAGCAGCAAAGUUACGGAAAAUGGAAGCUGUUGCAACAGCACGAAGAUACCAAGAUAACGAAAGAUGGAUCAUGAGUGUUCCUCUAGCAACAAGGAAGUCCUUAAGAAUAAUACCUGUCAUGAACUCGGAGAACAGCACAGUGCAAAGGAAGGUGUCCUGGCCUGUUAGCAAGCUGAUAGGCUUGGUCCUGUUUCUCUUCAAGCUCAUAGGGGUAUUGGGCAGGACUGUUCCAUAUAAAAUACUUUUGUGUUUCAUUAGCCUCGUGUUAAGUGGACCAAACUGUGGAGCUCCCACCAUUUCCCUUAGAAGACAAUAUUUGUCUAAUAUUUGUCAGAAAAAUCUCCUUUUAGUUCUCCCCUUAGUUCAGCCGAAGUAUUCCUCUAAAGUAUAUCUUCCCAUCGUUUCUAGCUAAUUAUAAUUAGCUUUUAUUUUACUUGGCCUUAUGCAUAAAUAUUUUAAAUACCAGAAACUGCUGUGAGACACAAGGAUGCUGUUCAAACAUAUGUGUAAGAUGAGACAAAUCUGCUGCUUCAAAAUGGCUCAGGUCAUGUCAUUUAGAAAUCUGGUAAUGUCUUCCCUCGCCAUAGUAGGUCUGUGACCCUCGAUAUUACCCUUUUGAUUUCAGUGAUUUGGACUGAUUUCAGUGAAGGAAAGCAAGACUGAACCCAAGUUUUUUAAGCAAUGAUAAUAUAAAUACUAUUUUGAACUGAAUUUUAAUGUGAAGUAGCAGGUAAUCCAAUUAACCGAGUAGUUAAAAAGUAAUAGGUGUGUUUAAUAUUUAAAUGCUCAGAUGUGUUUGGGGUUUUUGUUUGUUUGUUUGUUUGUUUGUUUACAAACUGGAAGCCUCCUCUUGUCCACUUAAAAAGAGCUUUGCAAACAAGGUACUGCAAAUAUACCCAGCUACAUCGAAUACCUGUGGUUGCAGGCGCUUUAGCAUGAUGAUUUCUUUGUCUCUGGGAAAGUAUUUGCAUGAUAAGGACAUUACUUAUUUAUAUCAGGAAUUGAAACUGUUCCUCAUGAGAUUUCUGGCUGUAUCCCUGGGCUGAUAUUAGUGCAGAACUUCCAAAACCCAUAAAGUGCUUUCAGAUCAUGGAUAUAUCAUCUUGAUUGUGGCUUGGUAUGGAGUGAAGUAUUGUAACUAUGGAUUUUAGCAUAUCUGUGCUCUAGAAACAGUUUUGCCAUUGUCCUCGGGCAGGGAAGAAAAUGACUCUGCAGAAGUAUUCACAAGAACCAAAAUGCGUACUGUGAAAAAUAAUAAUUUUAACAGUAAAUUAAAUAAGUUUCAUCCCUGUUAUCUUUCCAUGAAUGUGCAGGAUGAAGCAAGCAUGCCUUUCCAUGUUUUCUCUUGGGGCCUGUCCAAUAGCUUGGACUGCUAGGCCUCACGCACGUGGCUGUUCGUUACACGUUACCCGUCUCUUUGCACUUACAGACGAAAAGUCCGGGAGUUCAUUCAGUUCUUCCCUUAUUCCUGCUUUUGUCACCACAGUCAUGAUGGUUUAGCUUCCCUGAAUCUGUCUGUCUGCUUCUCAGAUCUGUUUGUACUACCCAUUGCCUCUGAAGAUGAGGUUUAGCUGACUAAACGUAAAUGUCUGUAUUUAAACUAGUCACCUUAGCUUGCUUUUGCAGUCAGUGGAAAGGAACAGGCACCUAGGGGAUGGUUUGCUGUGAUCAGUUUUAGAAAUCUAUGUUAGGACACAAUUAGUCUGCGGUAGAAGUGCUAAUUUUUUGACUGAUCUUACAGGAGUCUAGAUGAGUGUAGACACCUGCAUUUAGCCAAAAGAAAUUUACAGUGAAUGUCUUUGAUCUGUAAUUUACCUUGCAAGUUAUUUUAUUUCUCUUCUGCAUGCAUGUGUAAAUCUACAUGCUAUGUAAGACACUGACCUGAGACAGUGAUGCUGCCUUUUUUAAUAGCUGAACAUUUUCACAUAAAAAUUAUGCAUUUCCGAAAGCAUUGCAGGUUUCCAUGGGAUCUACUGGAACAGCAGAGAGAGCCUGGAAGGUUUUUUUUUUCUUCCUAGUUUUCCUUAAUAAAUAUAAAUGCAUUUUAAUCA